UCUUUCAAUUAAUAUGUUCUAUAAUUUCCAUACAUAUUGUUUCUGUUGUUUUAACAUGUGUUUGUUUAAAUUAAUUCAUGCAUGUUGAGUGCUUAUGUUGAGUGGGAACUAGGGUGCAUAUGUGUUGCACACGGACAUUUUUGAGGGAUGCAAUAGGAAAGAACGGACUUUUGGUGAGAGGUUGGUGUCUCUGCAUGUGAAUUUAAGUUGUGAAGAAGUUGCAAAGAAGACAAGAUGUUUUUUAUUUUUGUAUUUUGAUCGGGGCAUUUAAAGAACUCAUUCCCCCUUGGUUAUAUGCAGCCAGCGAGUUUGACGGUGGAUUUCAUUGACGGUGAACGUGAUAGCGGAGAAAAGAAAGAGAAAGGCAAUAAAUCCAUCAGUAUCCAGA